rnacentral:rRNA from 1 species
CGAGUUUGAUCCUGGCUCAGAUUGAACGCUGGCGGAAUGCUUUACACAUGCAAGUCGAGCGGCAGCGCGGGGGCAACCCUGGCGGCGAGCGGCGAACGGGUGAGUAACAUAUCGGAACGUACCCAGUCGUGGGGGAUAACUAUCCGAAAGGAUAGCUAAUACCGCAUACGUCCUGAGGGAGAAAGCGGGGGAUCGCAAGACCUCGCGCGAUUGGAGCGGCCGAUAUCGGAUUAGCUAGUUGGUGGGGUAAAGGCUCACCAAGGCGACGAUCCGUAGCGGGUCUGAGAGGACGACCCGCCACACUGGAACUGAGACACGGUCCAGACUCCUACGGGAGGCAGCAGUGGGGAAUAUUGGACAAUGGGCGAAAGCCUGAUCCAGCAAUGCCGCGUGAGUGAUGAAGGCCUUAGGGUUGUAAAGCUCUUUUACCAGGGAUGAUAAUGACAGUACCUGGAGAAUAAGCUCCGGCUAACUCCGUG